rnacentral:lncRNA from 10 species
UCAUUAACUAUUCCCGAUAAAUUGACAAAAUCAAGCUCACAGUGGUAGACAGCUGAUUCUCAGUGGAAAAGGACAAAGGAUCCGUCAGACAUGUCUGGUGAUACUGUAAAUCAGCAUAACCUUUGAUGGGACACAGUCACGCAAAAUGUGACAACCAUAAAAUUCUGACCAGCAAUUCCACUUUUGAAAACAGCCCCAAAGAGACAGGACAAAGUAAACAGGGAAAACACAGAUGGCCUUCUCCAGCCACAGAGGCAGUCCCUGGUGCCCAGAGCGGGGACAGUUGGUGACUCGAUCCAGGAGAGGAAGUCACCUGCGCCCUGAACUCUGAGGCUCACAUCCUGUGAACCUGCUCAGGAGAGCUAAGGUGUGGCCCACCAGUGCCUUUUGGGGACUCAUAGAAACAGCUCCUCUCACCUAGAAAGAAACAGAGCCACCAUCUUCCCACCCCUCAAAGGGUCUCACUCCCGUUGCCCAGGCUGGAGUACAGUAGCAUGAUCACCACUCACUGCAGCCUCAACUUCUCAGCCUCAGGUGUCUUCCUGGCAGCAUUCAUUCCAACAGCAUUCAUUCAGUGAAUACUUAUUGAGCACUUACUUUUUAAUUUUUAUAAAUUUUUUUUGAGAUGGGUCUUGCUCUGUCGCCCAGGCUGGAGUGCACUGGCAUGAUCAUAGCUCACUGUAGCCUCGAACUCCUGGGCUCAAGCAACCUCCUGCCUCAGCCUCCCAAGUACCUAGGACUUACAGGUGCAAGCCAUCAUGCCCAGCUAAUUUUUAGACUUUUUUUCUUUUUGAGAUGGAGUCUCGCUCUGUUGCCCAGGCUGGAGUGCAGUGGUGCAUCUUGGCUCACUGCAACCUCCGCCUCCUGGGUUCAAGUGAUUCUCCUGCCCCAGCCACCCUGGUAGCUGGGAUUACAGGCACGUGCCACCAAGCCCGGCUAAUUUUUGUAUUUUAGGCAGAGACUGGGUUUCACCAUGUUGGCCAGGCUGGUCUUGAACUCCUGGCCUUGAGUGAUCCUCCUGCCUUGGCCUCCCAAAGUGCUGGAGUUACAGGCAUGAGCCACUGCGUCCAGACAGCAACUUUAGCUAAGGUGUCCAAGGAAGGAGUGAAAUUCAAGCUGAUCUUAAUAGUGAGAAGGAUCCAGCCAUGCAAAACCAUGGAGAAAAGCAUUCCAGGCAGAAGAAACAGUGGAUGCAAAAGCUUUGAAGCAGCAACAAG